rnacentral:rRNA from 1 species
UACGUAGGAGGCGAGCGUUGUCCGGAGUUACUGGGCGUAAAGCGUGCGCAGGCGGCUAUGCAAGACAGAUGUGAAAUCCCCGGGCUCAACCUGGGAACUGCAUUUGUGACUGCAUGGCUAGAGUACGGUAGAGGGGGAUGGAAUUCCGCGUGUAGCAGUGAAAUGCGUAGAUAUGCGGAGGAACACCGAUGGCGAAGGCAAUCCCCUGGACCUGUACUGACGCUCAUGCACGAAAGCGUGGGGAGCAAACAGG